GUCCGUAACGAGCGCAACCUUGUCCUUAGUUACCAGCACGUUAUGGUGGGCACUCUAAGGAGACUGCCGGUGACAAACCGGAGGAAGGUGGGGAUGACGUCAAGUCAUCAUGGCCCUUACGGCCUGGGCUACACACGUGCUACAAUGGUCGGUACAAAGGGUUGCCAAGCCGCGAGGUGGAGCUAAUCCCAUAAAACCGAUCGUAGUCCGGAUCGCAGUCUGCAACUCGACUGCGUGAAGUCGGAAUCGCUAGUAAUCGUGAAUCAGAAUGUCACGGUGAAUACGUUCCCGGGCCUU
rnacentral:rRNA from 1 species